rnacentral:rRNA from 3 species
GUCAUAUGCUUGUCUCAAAGAUUAAGCCAUGCAUGUCUCAGUACAAGCCAAAUUAAGGUGAAACCGCGAAAGGCUCAUUAAAUCAGUUAUGGUUCCUUAGAUCGUACCCACAAUUACUUGGAUAACUGUGGUAAUUCUAGAGCUAAUACAUGCAAACAGAGCUCCGACCGGAGACGGAAGGAGUGCUUUUAUUAGAUCAAAACCAAUCGGUGGCGGGUUCGCGCUCGUCAUCGUACAACUUGGUGACUCUGAAUAACUUUACGCUGAUCGCACGGUCAUCGCACCGGCGACGCAUCUUUCAAAUGUCUGCCUUAUCAACUGUCGAUGGUAGGUUCUGCGCCUACCAUGGUUGUAACGGGUAACGGGGAAUCAGGGUUCGAUUCCGGAGAGGGAGCCUGAGAAACGGCUACCACAUCCAAGGAAGGCAGCAGGCGCGCAAAUUACCCACUCCCGGCACGGGGAGGUAGUGACGAAAAAUAACGAUACGGGACUCAUCCGAGGCCCCGUAAUCGGAAUGAGUACACUCUAAACCCUUUAACGAGGAUCAAUUGGAGGGCAAGUCUGGUGCCAGCAGCCGCGGUAAUUCCAGCUCCAAUAGCGUAUAUUAAAGUUGUUGCGGUUAAAAAGCUCGUAGUCGAAUUUGUGUCUCGCGCCGCCGGUUCAUCGUCCGCGGUGUUAACUGGCGAGUCGCGAGACGUCCUGCCGGUGGGCUUAGCUCGCGAGGGCGGCCCAACUCAAUCCUGCCGCGGUGCUCUUCAUUGAGUGUCGAGGUGGGCCGGCACGUUUACUUUGAACAAAUUAGAGUGCUUAAAGCAGGCUAAAACUUCGCCUGAAUACUGUGUGCAUGGAAUAAUGGAAUAGGACCUCGGUUCUAUUUUGUUGGUUUUCGGAACCCCGAGGUAAUGAUUAAUAGGAACGGAUGGGGGCAUUCGUAUUGCGACGUUAGAGGUGAAAUUCUUGGAUCGUCGC